GACGAACGCUGGCGGCGUGCCUAACACAUGCAAGUCGAACGAGAUCCAGAGGAGCUUGCUCCUUGAAGAUCUAGUGGCGAACGGGUGAGUAACACGUGAGCAACCUGCCCUGGAAUCGGGGAUAACCCGAGGAAACUCGAGCUAAUACCGGAUACCUUCCUUUGGUCGCAUGGCCGCAGGAAGAAAGAACUUCGUUCCAGGAGGGGCUCGCGGCCUAUCAGCUUGUUGGCGGGGUAACGGCCCGACCAAGGCUACGACGGGUAGGCUGGUUUGUAGAGAACGGUCAGCCACACUGGGACGUGAGACACGGCCCAGACUCCUACGGGAGGGCAGCAGUGGGGAAGUCUUGCGCAAUGGGCGAAAGACCUGACGCAGCAACGCCGCGUGCGGGAUGACGGCCU
rnacentral:rRNA from 1 species